GGCUAAAGGGAGCUGAGUUCCUCGUGCUGAGGAGGCUGGGCUGUCUCUGAUGCCCAGCAGUGGCCGUUAUGGAACCCAGCAGCGUGCAGGGUCGAGGACAGCCGGCCCCACAUGUCAGUGGUCUAGGAUGGCCAGUGAGGGCGCCAGCAUCCCGAGUCCUGUGGUACGCCAGAUUGACAAGCAGUUUCUGAUCUGCAGUAUAUGCCUGGAACGGUACAAGAACCCCAAGGUCCUGCCCUGUCUGCACACUUUCUGCGAGAGGU
rnacentral:lncRNA from 1 species